rnacentral:lncRNA from 1 species
CGCGAACCCAGCACAGACCCAUACUUUCUUCCACCGAGCCUUUCAUCCCGUUUCUCCGACUUCUCACAUUUCUCUUUCGCUCUGCCUCACUGGCGGCUUGAAAGUUGUCCUGCCUUUUAUUUUCAGCAGUAUUAAUUUGGUGGAGUUUGCCAGCUCGGCAGUGGCGUGCUCUUCUCACUUGACGUUUUGCUGAAGUUUGUAUGCCACUUGAGCUCUCCGUCUCCCGCGCUAAUGAUAGCGGCGCGGGCUCUCAGGGGAGCGCGCGCGGGCCGCCUCGCACGGAUCCCGCGCUGGAUAUUUUGGGAGCCUGUGAGGCACAUCAUUGCCUGCUCAUCCUCUUUCUCUCUCCCUCUCUUUUUUGUUGUUGUUGUAUGUCUGUGCACGCGUACAUUCUUCGCUUUUUUCUGCUCAGACGUAUUUUUGAUUUCUGAGGGAAUGAUGAGAAGGGGGGAAAAGAAGAAGAGGAAGAAAAAAGCUGUUUUCAAGGCUAUUGCUGGGUUCAACUUCACAGAAAAAGCUUUGCCCGUAGAGGUCAAGCUCAUAUUGACAAACUUCUGGAGAGGAGAAAAAUGGACUGAAAAAAGAAGAGCACAGCGACAGACACUGAGAGACAAUUAUAAUAUUAGCAGCGCAGUGAGUGUGGAAUCAGAGAGAGAGAGAGAUUACACCUGACGGCUCCUGUGUUGCUCCUGUAGCUCUGUGAAAAUGAUCACACCCCUCUUACAAACGUGGAGGAGGACUUUUGUCACCGCAGUUA